GUGGGGAAUUUUGGACAAUGGGCGCAAGCCUGAUCCAGCAAUGCCGCGUGCAGGAAGAAGGCCUUCGGGUUGUAAACUGCUUUUGUACGGAACGAAACGGUCCUGGCUAAUACCUGGGGCUAAUGACGGUACCGUAAGAAUAAGCACCGGCUAACUACGUGCCAGCAGCCGCGGUAAUACGUAGGGUGCGAGCGUUAAUCGGAAUUACUGGGCGUAAAGCGUGCGCAGGCGGUGCUGUAAGACAGGCGUGAAAUCCCCGGGCUCAACCUGGGAAUUGCGCUUGUGACUGCAGUGCUGGAGUGCGGCAGAGGGGGAUGGAAUUCCGCGUGUAGCAGUGAAAUGCGUAGAUAUGCGGAGGAACACCGAUGGCGAAGGCAAUCCCCUGGGCCUGCACUGACGCUCAUGCACGAAAGCGUGGGGAGCAAACAGGAUUAGAUACCCCAGUAGUCC
rnacentral:rRNA from 1 species